GAUGAACGCUAGCGGGAGGCCUAACACAUGCAAGCCGAGCGGUAUUGUUUCUUCGGAAAUGAGAGAGCGGCGUACGGGUGCGGAACACGUGUGCAACCUGCCUUUAUCUGGGGGAUAGCCUUUCGAAAGGAAGAUUAAUACUCCAUAAUAUAUUGAACGGCAUCGUUUAAUAUUGAAAGCUCCGGCGGAUAGAGAUGGGCACGCGCAAGAUUAGCUAGUUGGUGAGGUAACGGCUCACCAAGGCGAUGAUCUUUAGGGGGCCUGAGAGGGUGAUCCCCCACACUGGUACCUGAGACACGGACCAGACUCCUACGGAGGCAGCAGUGGGGAAUUUUGGACAAUGGAGCAAGUCUGAUCCAGCCAUUCCGCGUGCAGGAUGAA
rnacentral:rRNA from 1 species